rnacentral:rRNA from 1 species
CGGCAGGCCUAACACAUGCAAGUCGAGCGGUAGCACAGAGAGCUUGCUCUCGGGUGACGAGCGGCGGACGGGUGAGUAAUGUCUGGGAAACUGCCUGAUGGAGGGGGAUAACUACUGGAAACGGUAGCUAAUACCGCAUAACGUCGCAAGACCAAAGUGGGGGACCUUCGGGCCUCAUGCCAUCAGAUGUGCCCAGAUGGGAUUAGCUAGUAGGUGGGGUAACGGCUCACCUAGGCGACGAUCCCUAGCUGGUCUGAGAGGAUGACCAGCCACACUGGAACUGAGACACGGUCCAGACUCCUACGGGAGGCAGCAGUGGGGAAUAUUGCACAAUGGGCGCAAGCCUGAUGCAGCCAUGCCGCGUGUAUGAAGAAGGCCUUCGGGUUGUAAAGUACUUUCAGCGGGGAGGAAGGCGAUAAGGUUAAUAACCUUGUCGAUUGACGUUACCCGCAGAAGAAGCACCGGCUAACUCCGUGCCAGCAGCCGCGGUAAUACGGAGGGUGCAAGCGUUAAUCGGAAUUACUGGGCGUAAAGCGCACGCAGGCGGUCUGUCAAGUCGGAUGUGAAAUCCCCGGGCUCAACCUGGGAACUGCAUUCGAAACUGGCAGGCUAGAGUCUUGUAGAGGGGGGUAGAAUUCCAGGUGUAGCGGUGAAAUGCGUAGAGAUCUGGAGGAAUACCGGUGGCGAAGGCGGCCCCCUGGACAAAGACUGACGCUCAGGUGCGAAAGCGUGGGGAGCAAACAGGAUUAGAUACCCAGGUAGUCCACGCCGUAAACGAUGUCGAUUUGGAGGUUGUGCCCUUGAGGCGUGGCUUCCGGAGCUAACGCGUUAAAUCGACCGCCUGGGGAGCACGGCCGCAAGGUUAAAACUCAAAUGAAUUGACGGGGGCCCGCACAAGCGGUGGAGCAUGUGGUUUAAUUCGAUGCAACGCGAAGAACCUUACCUGGUCUUGACAUCCACAGAACUUAGCAGAGAUGCUUUGGUGCCUUCGGGAACUGUGAGACAGGUGCUGCAUGGCUGUCGUCAGCUCGUGUUGUGAAAUGUUGGGUUAAGUCCCGCAACGAGCGCAACCCUUAUCCUUUGUUGCCAGCGGUUAGGCCGGGAACUCAAAGGAGACUGCCAGUGAUAAACUGGAGGAAGGUGGGGAUGACGUCAAGUCAUCAUGGCCCUUACGACCAGGGCUACACACGUGCUACAAUGGCAUAUACAAAGAGAAGCGACCUCGCGAGAGCAAGCGGACCUCAUAAAGUAUGUCGUAGUCCGGAUUGGAGUCUGCAACUCGACUCCAUGAAGUCGGAAUCGCUAGUAAUCGUAGAUCAGAAUGCUACGGUGAAUACGUUCCCGGGCCUUGUACACACCGCCCGUCACACCAUGGGAGUGGGUUGCAAAAGAAGUAGGUAGCUUAACCUUCGGGAGGGCGCUUACCACUUUGUGAUUCAUGACUGGGGUGAAGUC